AUAAGUUAUCGUUUAUUUGAUAAUACUUUACUACUUGGAUAACCGUGGUAAUUCUAGAGCUAAUACAUGCUAAAAAUCCCGACUUCGGAAGGGUUGUAUUUAUUAGAUUAAAAACCAAUGCCCCUCGGGGCUCUCUGGUGAAUCAUGAUAACUAGUCGAAUCGACAGGCCUUGUGCCGGCGAUGGCUCAUUCAAAUUUCUUCCCUAUCAACUUUCGAUGUUUGGGUCUUGUCCAAACAUGGUGGCAACGGGUAACGGAGGGUUAGGGCUCGACCCCGGAGAAGGAGCCUGAGAAACGGCUACUACAUCCAAGGAAGGCAGCAGGCGCGCAAAUUACCCAAUCCCGACACGGGGAGGUAGUGACAAUAAAUACUGAUACAGGGCUCUUUUGGGUCUUGUAAUCGGAAUGAGUACAAUUUAAAUCCCUUAACGAGGAACAAUUGGAGGGCAAGUCUGGUGCCAGCAGCCGCGGUAAUUCCAGCUCCAAUAGCGUAUAUUAAAGUUGUUGUGGUUAAAAAGCUCGUAGUUGAACCUUGGGCCUGGCUGGCCGGUCCGCCUCACCGCGUGCACUGGUCCGGCCGGGCCUUUCCCUCUGCGGAACCCCAUGCCCUUCACUGGGUGUGGCGGGGAAACAGGACUUUUACUUUGAAAAAAUUAGAGUGCUCAAGGCAGGCCUAUGCUCGAAUACAUUAGCAUGGAAUAAUAGAAUAGGACGUGUGGUUCUAUUUUGUUGGUUUCUAGGACCGCCGUAAUGAUUAAUAGGGACAGUCGGGGGCAUCAGUAUUCAAUUGUCAGAGGUGAAAUUCUUGGGAUUUAUUGAAGACUAACUACUGCGAAAGCAUUUGCCAA
rnacentral:rRNA from 2 species